rnacentral:lncRNA from 1 species
AGAGAGGGAGAGCAGAGAGGCGAGCCGGCAGGCUGGAAAUUCAGGUCAGAGCUGAUGUUGCAGUCUUGGGUCUGAAGUCCGUAGUGCAGCAGGCUGGAAACUCAGGCAGAGUUUCUCUCUUGCAGUCUUGUGAAUUUCUUCUACUUCAGAGAAACUCAGUCUUUGCUCUUUAGGCCUUCAGCUGAUUGGAGGAGGCCCACCUGUAUUAUGGAGGUUUACUCAAAGUCUACUGAUUUAAAUGUUAAUGACGUUUAAAAAAUGCCUUUAGAGGGAAAAGCUACAGUCCCUUACCAUUGCAGUUGGUCCUGGGGUCCUCAUUAAUAGCUGUCAUGUUCCUCCUCUAGCACCUGUUCUACCCUCCAACCCGCACCCCCGCUCCACCCCUUGGCAAGCACUUCUGUUGGUUUAGGUUGCUGCCCUUUAGGCUGCAAAGAUAUGACAUGCAAAACAGCAGCAGCAAUUGGGGCUACGCUUGGUGAAGUUUAUGGUGGUCCACUGUCAUCUGCCAUGGUGUAUCUGGCUUUCCAGAGCCCCAUCCCCUGCAUACUUCAAGCCUUUGAGGAGCCACUAACUAUGCCAUUUCACCUGGGAUGUUGCAUUAUUUCUGAUUUACCAUUUUGGCCAGAGUUGGGGAGGCAGCUACACAUGCUUCCACUCAGCUUUUCUUACCAAAGUAGACCUUAUUUUAUAAAUCUGGGAAUCAUUAUGAAAGUUCUGUCAGCUUCUAAGUGCUGUAUGUACAUUCCAAGUAUGCACUGAGGGACCAGGGAAUUGACCACAGGCAGGAGUUAAGAACCGAACUGACCCACUGUGAGAUGGACAUGGGUGAGGACUCUAUUUGUCACUUGGCAUCGAAGUUCCAACUCUAAGAGAUGAGUCACGAUUGCAUUUUGGGUCCGCAAGGAUUAGUAUCAGCUCCUGAUACUGUACAUAAGAGUCCUCAAAAGCACUGGAUCUUUUGUAGGUCCCAUUGGCAAAGGAUUGGAAGAAUAUCUCCUGAAGGUCAGAUCAAGUGUAGUGGGAGGAUGUGAGGUCAGCAGUUGUCUCAGAUGCAGCUGGGGCGGUGAGGGACUAGAGAAACUGUUUAUAAAAUACUGAACAAAGAGGGCAGAAGAGAUGUCAAACACUUUGUUCUCCUGAAGCUGUUAGCCAAGCUUUGAUUAGUGUCACCCCAGGUUUCCCGGCAUGGGAAUGUGUCCCUCUCUGUGAUGGAUGGUGGGAUCCAGGUUAUAUCACUGUUUGUAGGAGCCAGUGUUAGGAGUUAAUUGUUACUGAGUGAUCAAAAGAUGUCUUUCUGGCUCCUAGAAUAGCUCCAACCCCCUUGGUGGCCUCUGUCACCCAGGGACCAGAAAUCUCUCUUGAGGGGUUUGCCUUAAAAAAAGUAGCACUUCCUGCCUCCUGGGUAGAAGUGAAUCAUAACUGUAUCCCUCCUGGGUCUGCAACCUCUCCUGCACUGAAAACUGCUGUAGCUCAGGCUUGAGAAUAUCUAAGGCUCAGUGAUGUGACCUUUUCCUUUUUCUUCUGACCUUGAAGAGAAAAAGUUGAGGAGCCUGCUGUGAACAGAAUGGGGUGUGACUUUCAGCCAGCGACAUGGGAGAGAGAAGAGCCAAAGGACUCUGUGGAGGGUUCUCUCAGGGAUUGGGGACAGAUCCUCCAUUGAACUUUUCCUGAAUUAUCCGGUGUGAUUGUGCCAUCUGUCACUGCUGGGACCUGACAGACAGAGCCUUUGAGAAUAAAGGCCCAAAGCACAGGUUGGUGUGAUUGUUUCAUGCCCAGAGCAGGGGCUGGCAAUGGAAAACCUGCGGUUGGUUGUGGCGCAGUUUUCAGAGCCAGCAGGCCCCGCAAAGAUAAGCUCAUGUGCAAGAUGGAAAUCAGAAAAGAUUCUUAUCAGGAAAACCAUCAUGAAAACUAGCAAAGACCUCAGCUUCCUGGCUACCCCUGCCUAAUGAUGCAAUUAUUGUUGAGGAAAUGAGUCUAUGUUUUUGGUUCAAUGAUGAAAGGCUUCUGUACCUACUCAACUUUUCAGUGCUUUCAACUUAUUUGGAUACUUGUUCUUGGCGCUUGUGGGUGAAGUCUAAUUCUCGAGUUCCCAGAAUCACUGAAAAGUUGAAUCAAAAACAUAGACUCAGUAAAUAAUGGCCCCAGCCACACAGAAUAUAAUCUGGGCAGAUCUGUUAGCUGCUUCUUCCUCAUCUCUCUGUGGCCCGGUGGACUGAGAUGGGACAUUCUGUCAUGGGAUAUUUGACAGUCAGAAAGGGAAAAGUCCAGGGUCCUCCAGGAAAACAAAUCCUGCCUUAGAGCCCUCACACUAACGCCUAUCUCUCCCCUUUAGACAUGUACAGUGCCAGCACUCAGACGGUGUGUUUUGACUUGAGCGGUGUUAGCGUCUUUCUCUUUCCAUUAGCACGGGGGACUCAGCUUGGUCAGUGCCUGUCAUGGGCAGGUCUGGGACGACCCUUUCCCAGGGCUUGGGUGAAGCCUCUUCUUCUGAGGGAUGAAUCUCAUGCAACUCCCUGCUUUUGGUGACUAACACCAGCCAGGUAGAAGCAAGGAAUGGGCAGCAACCUCCCACAUCUGGGAAGCAAAUCUCUACUGCUGGGAGCUCUUGUCUUUCCUGACUACAGGCCCAUGUGGAGCUUGUUAUAUGGGGUCACUGCUUCGGGCUGAAUCAGGGCCCUGGGCCCUGGGUGGCAGGGCUCAGCUGUGUCCAGCUUGGGGGCCCCUUACAGCUGCUCCCAUGAGUGGUCCACCAGCACUGGAUCUGAAAGGUCAUGGGUCUCUCCUGCACUUGCUGUCCUGGGGAUCUGGGUCCUAUGUGCUCUGGUUCCACAGCUCUCUGGGAAGGUCUUCCUGGUUGAUGUGCUCUGUCUCAGUUUAUAUUUUGGAUCCUCUGAAGAUGUUUCAGAAAAGUCUCUUGCUCCUUUGUGUUUUAUGUUUGAUCAUAUCUAUCGUAAAAAUCAAUGCACUAACUUUAAAAUUAAUUAAAAAGUACCCAAUAACUUAUAAUUUCACAAACAAGUGCACCAUUGUCACAUUGUUGUAGGAAUGGUGCAUAUGCAUGUUUUCUUUGCCUCCACAUUGCAUUAUUCUAGAGGCAGGACAAUGGCUCCAUGUGGGAGAGGGGAGGGGUUUCAGGAGCCUGCCUCUCAUUCUCUCUAGAAUCCUAUUUUAAGGAGAAAGGAGGAGUAUUAGAUAUUGUGUUAGAGAUAUUUAAAAAAUGUUUUAUUAUGAAAAUUUUCAAACAUACAAAAGUAAAGAGAAUUAUACAGUGAACCCAAUGUACCUAUUACUGAGCUUCAACCAUUAUCAAUACAUGGCCAAUUUGGUCUCAUUUAAACCUGUCAUUCCCCUUCUCCUGUGAACCUCCCUCCCUCAUUAUUUUGAAGCAAAUCUCAGACACGAGCAAGCACACUCAUCAGCCACAUUGUGGCUGUAUGUAUACGUAAUAGACAUUACACUUGAACACGUGGAUCUCAGGUCAGGGGGUGACCCAGCUCAGACUGUACCCUUGGCUGGUUCCACUCCUCCAGGGGCCUCAUCCAGACCUCACCUUGGGCCCUUCUUUCUUGUGAGGAGUCAGGGGUAGGGCUUUUUUCUACUGUUUGUACAUGUGGUGUCACACAAUACCUAGACAUAUGGGGGAAAUGUCUGUCCCCAGAAGGUGUCAGCCCUGGACUCGGAGGGGCAUGUCCAGAGAAGGAGGUGGUUGGAGGAAGGAGAGCUAUUAGUCAGAGAGAGAGAGACAAGACCCAGAGACAUAUAUGACAACUGUCAUCAAACAUCUGGAGGGUGGUGUUGGGUCUGAAGUAUUAGUUCUAUGGGAACGCAGAAUGCAGAACUAGGGUCUCUGGGCAGAAAUGACCAGGAUGCAGACUUAGUUCACGAACUUUCUGGUCAUUUGAGUGGUCAGAAAGUGGAGUAGCCACCCAGGCUUGGUACUUACCGGGUGAGGAUGAGGUAGGAGAAUUUAAGCAUUUGGUUAGGGUGGUGGGUGGGUAAGUUAAUUAAAUUUGUUUGAAUGAAUUUUCUAGUUCCUAAGAGAAUCAGUGGCACAGAGGAAAGACCCUUUGUUAAGGGUUAGGAACUUUAUAUGAUCAUGGAAGUCCUUCUACCUGUCUGGGUCCUGUUUAUACAAUUACGAUUUUGGAUUAGAUGAUGGUAAUGAUGGCUAACUCAUGUUGAGCUCUUUUGUCUUUUAAGCAAAAUGCUAGCUCAUUUAAUGCUAACAGCAACUGUAUGAGAUAGGAACUAAAAUUACCUGUUUUUCACGUACAGAGACGUUUAAAUAUUUUGCUGAAGAUCAUACAGCUGUUGAGGGAUAGGGCUGGGGUUUGAACCCAGGAAGCCAGUUCCAGAGCCAGCAUAUUUAACCAUGCCACCUCUCAAUGAUAAGCUUGAGUGUUGCAGCUCAAAUCAUACUGUAAUGCUAGGAUUAAAUGAGAUAAUAUAUGUGAACUUUGCCUUAUUCUAUACAAAUGACACAUCUUUACAUCUUGUGCUUUUCUCAAAGCAAGGUUAUUAUAAUUUUCUUUUUCAAACAGAUUUUGGACAAGCUGUGCUCCUCCUGGGGUAUUAACAUUGAUCAAAAGCCUCUUAGACUGUGAGCUCUAACAGGGCAGGCCGUGAGCCUGUCUUAUUAGCUAUUGUGUCCCAGUGCUGGGAACACUCUAGAUGCUCAGUAAGAUUUGUCUGUUAAUUGAUGGUACGCUGUGACAGGGAGGAACCUUUUUGCCCAAAAGGAGCCAUGCUCCGGGUGGCCAUGCUCCUGCUGGGGGAGUCUUAGUUCAAAGUCUAAGGCAAGCUGAAGGAAGCCAGGGCUGCUGAGUGACUGGAAGGCCAGUGGGCUCUGACUCCAUGGGAUGCUGGGCUGGGUUGAGUUGCCUUUGAGGAGGGGCCCUGGCUGUUCCAGAAGUCUGGUCUCCUCUCAGCCAGGGCAUGGGACAGUGCAGGGGCCCUGAGGGGAGGAGAUGUGGGAGGAACCUGCUCAGGUCAGGAAGACCAGGAGGAGACAGGAGCUGGUGGCCAGCGGGGGAGGGGGCGUCUGAGCAACUUGCAGGGACAACCGGGCUAGAGGAGGGUAGGCAUCCAGCGGGACCUGAGGCUGAGCUGGGGUCUGGACUAGUGACAGGGCAAAGUAGGGCAGGAAAGGGAAGGGCGUGGAAGCUGGGCUUGGGUGGGCUUCAGCAGCAGCUUCUGUCACUGUGAGACAGAGCCCUGCCCCUGGGCAUGAAGGGCCUCUUCUCCCCAGUGGGAUGGGGGCAGGACAUCAAGCCAUGCCUCUCAGCCUGGGAAACUUCAGGUGAUUUCCCACCCCAGCUGGCAGUCUCUCUGCCAUUUGAAGGGGGCGAGGUGGGUAGGAGGUGAGCGGGGAGAGUCCCCUCUCCAGAAGGAGCCCUGACAGAGGGGCCAGGCAUGGCAGGCGUGUGUGUAAGAAAUGGGUGCACACCUGCAGAGUUUGGUGGUACAUCAGGAGGGCCUGGGGGCAGUGACAGGGGAGCUCAGGUGGGUGAGAAGGCUCAGAGCCGCUCACACUCUCGUUCCGUCUCAGGAUGUUCUUUGGGGUAGCUGCUCCAUAGAGUGUGGCUCGGCCAAGAGAUGGGGACUGAGGCUGAGUGAAUGCACUGCUUCCUCUACCCAGGGAAGCAAAAUGGAGACCAGAGAGGAAGAUAAGAGGGGGGGCCUGGAGCUCCUCUCUGAUGGGGAGAAAAGAGUGCAAAAGAAAUAGAGUCAUAAGGAGAGGGACCUGGACCAGCGACCCUCCUCUUUGUAACUCUAUUUCCUCUUCCCAAACCAAGGGGCUGAGGGACAGGCCUCCAUUAGCUGCUAGUAUGGGAUUAAGGGGGAGAGGACGGCCAAGGCCAAGUCGGGGUUCCUGAGCUCCAUUAGCUGCUGUGGCCCCGCCCCUACCUCCUGUGCCCUGUAGACAGGAGGAUUCACUUGAGGGUGCUAGUUCCUCUGCCCUCUCUCUUUUCCCUCUUGGGGAGUCUCAUGAACUCUUUACUUUGGGGUAGGAAAAUAAAGGCCACAUUUAGCUUGGAGGGGACCAUCUCUACUUAGUGCCCCCGGGGCAAUACUAACCUUAAAAUGUGGCUGUGGCACUGACCUUGAAGGGAGACCCCUUAUCUUCAGGGACACUUGAUCUGUGGGGCUAGCUGCAGCUCUGUUAUGGUUCCUUCCCACCUCUCAGCCAGUGCACCUUGCUCUUGGCUGGUGCCAGUGGCUGGUCUGGUGUCCCCGUCCACGCUGCAUGCUGCCUCUCACUUUACAUGGUUCAGCUCCCGGGCUGGGUGGGCCUCUGAGCCUUUGGGUGGCCUCCUGCUUUAGCAGGCCUAGGAGGAUUCUGGCUCCCCUUGCUCCUCUCCCUUGCUAGAACUCAGAGCCAGGGAGAGAAUGACUUUCUCUAGCCCCUGCUCACUUCAGAUGAGCCAUGUAGAUAGAGAAGGUUGUACAAAACGGGAAGUCUGUUCUGUGUAUAGUGAGUCUUGGGACAUCAGAGCAGCAGGGGUCCUAGGUGUGUGCCGAUUAUUUAUUCUCAGGGGAGAAGUGCUGGAGGGCCAUGGGUUGACAUUCUAGCCCAUGGACACUGGUGUUGACCCCCUGGAAUAAGGAGGGAAGGCCAAGAUCACCCGCAGGAUGUUCUUUGGGUGUGGCUGCUCUGGGUUGGGGAUGGAAGAAUAUGGGGGUGUCUGGGCUCUGACAAACCAGAGUGACUCUGGAUCUGUGUGUCAAAGCUGUGGCUUCAGGAAGUCACUGUUCCUCUCAAAGCCUGAAGCAAUCAAGACAGAGAACGCUCAGACUGGCACCCUCCUAUGUACCAGCUAUUCUACCCCGGGCUGAGUUUUUAGAGCUGAUAUUCUGCUCCCCUUGGCAGGACUGACCCCUCUCUCCUCUGUGCCUCCCACAAGUGCUGGGCAUUUGUUGUGGUCACACUGUCUUCAGCACUGGCCCAGUGGUGAAGUUUUGCACAGAGAGGGUGUGCUGGUGCUUUCCCUGGGACCCAGGCUGGACAGUGCAGCACCUGGGAACCUUGUGGGCUACCUGUCCAGCCCUGGCCUGCACCAAGCCUACUCUUCCUUGGCUCAGGGCUUACCUGUUUUUUUUUUUUUAAAGGGCAGAGAAACUUUCUUCAAUGUUUAUAACAACAACAACAGUGAUAAGUAGUAAUAAUGGUAAUAACUACAAUAAUGAUGACUAACAACAAGGAGAAUGAGGAUACUCAAUAUGAUGAAGAUGAUGAUAAUAUCUAUAAAGCUAAAGAGAUAGGACCAUAGAGUGAGUGAAUGACCAAGGGCCUUAUUAGGACUCAUGGGUGGUUUGGUGUCAGAAUUAUAGUUUUUCAUUUUGAAUCUAGUUCCAUGAAGGCAAAGGCCAAAGAGCAGGAGGGAAAAAGCAGGAGGGAAAGGAAAAGCCCUGUAAAUUGAGUGUGGACCAAGGUGGUGUUCCUGGGAGGACAGCAGGAAGUGAGGCCUAGGGGACAGGAAAGAGAGGAGCUCAGGUCAGAGCUUGCUGCCUCCUGCCACCCACCCAUCCCUGAGCUUGGACAUCUGGCUGGAGGGGCUGCUUCCCUUGAAGAAAGACUUUAAUUCCCUCCGCUCCCCCAGGGGUGACUUUGGCAGAGGCACAAAACAGCCCUUCAGUUAAUCAGUUUGGAGCUCUGUGCAAAGGCCAUUGACUGCUCAUGGUGCUGCAAACAGCAAUCACCUCCCUAUCACCAGCUGUCGUCUCUGCUGGAGAUGCACAGAAAUGUCUGCCCACCAGAAUUAAAAUGAGAACCUCGAGGCCAGGUAGCCUUGCUGUGCCUGGAAUGUGCAUCUUCCCUCACCACCCACCCAAAAUGCAUGCCCUGUGGUUGUCUUUGUCGCCGCCGCUCAGUGCUUCCGUCUGCCCACCUGUGUCCCUGGCCAACACUCUACUCUGCAUUUGGAAUGCUCCAUUCCAGUGUAAAUCAACUACUGGCUCCCUACAGUCUCUUGCUCCACUUUCUUAUUGUCAAAAUUAUACUUGCUGAGAGUUUAAAAAGUUAGAUGAUUCUGCAAGGUUAUUUAUAAAAAAGACCAGUCCCAUUCCCUCCCCUUGAUUUCUCCCCACACCAAAAAUAACCAGUUUUACCUUUUUAAGCUUUUUUUUCUUCUUAUUUUUUUCUUCUUUUUAAUACUUUUUUUUUGAGGAAGAUUAGCCCUGAGCUAACAUCUGCUGCCAAUCCUCCUCUUUUUGCUGAGGAAGACUGGCCCUGAGCUAACAUCCGUGCCCAUCUUCCUCUACUUUAUAUGUGAGAUGCCUGCCCACAGUAUGGCUUGCCAAGUGGUGCCAUGUCCACACCUGGGAUCUGAACUGGCGAACCCCGGGCCAUGAAAGUGGAGUGUGCGAACUUAACUGCUGCGCCACUGGGCUGGCCCCCUUAAGCUUUUUUUUUUAAACCUCAGUGUCUAUAAAUAACACAUGCAUUGCUAUUUUUUGGUUUUUCAGUUUUAGGCAUUAUCUGUUGAUUUCUUACUAGGAAGAUGAGAUUUUAGUUUCUUUUAUCUCCCUACCUCCAUCACACAUGAGUAUCCUUCCCAUUCCUCCAUCCUUCCAAUAUAGAUAUGGUCUAAUUUGGUAAGGUCAAUAGUCAAUGUUUAUAGUGUCAUGACUAUGUAAAUGCUGCUCAUAGCUGAGCCACGUAGUAAACUGUGUUUUUUCUCCUGUUCUUCUCAACUUUUAUUUUUUCUAGAAUUGAUACCUUUCUUUCUUGCUUAGUUUUGUACACAUAUCUCACUAAUUCAAUCCCAAGUUGAAUUUGCCAGGUGACUGAAUAUCCUCUUGACACAUUCAGAGCAGGAGACAUUCUAUUUAUUUCUUCCUUAGAAGUGAUCUCUCCCAAGCCUUCUGACCUGCUCUGAUCUGGACCACUUGCCUGGGAUGAUGCUGUCAUCCUGGGAUCUCACUUUAUUUCUUGGUUUGCUCUCUUGUUUUGGUGGAACACAUCUUCCCGUCCUGAGAAAGGGUCCUGGGAAGUAAACUAUUUGAAAGUACUUUUAUUUUGUGUUGAUACAAACUUCUGUCACACAGGUGAUGAAUUUCCUGGACUGGGCUCUAAUUUUCUUUUUAUUUCUCUUUUAUUUUUUAUUCUCUUUUGCUCUGAUAUCUGGGAGAGUUCCUUCAGUUUAUCUUCCAUUGAGUUCUUAAUUUCUGCUAUCAUCAUAUUUUAAAUAUCCAAUAGCUUCUUUGUGUUCUUGGAGUAGUUAUUUUUUAAAAAAAAAUAGCAUCUUGUUCUUGUUUCAAGAGCGCAAUAUUGUCUUUUAUUGCCCUGGGGAUAUUCAUGAUUGUUUAAAAAGAUUCUUCUUCCUGCAUUUUCUCCACUUCUUCACAUUUUUUUUUCUUUGUUUGUAUUUUUCAUUUUAGGGGAUGUCCUCAGGUGGGACUCUUGAUUGCCUGGUUAAGAGUUGGGGACCAAAAAGCUAAGUAAGGUUCAUUGACUGUGAGCCUCCUCGUGGGGUCCUCUGGCACCAUCCUUAGUGGGGAACCUCGGAUAUCAGUAUCUCCAGUUCAUUCCUCUUGGGCCAUUGGAGUCUCCAAAGACAACACUUCUUAUGUCCUUCCUGGAGGGUGAAGACCAGAAUGCCAGUAUUCUGGGAGCCUAGUAGAGGAAGAGGGUUGAGGGGGGACUGGCAAUGUGUUUCAGAAUCCAGUGUUCAGAGUUUACUUACUACUCUUACUUUCAGUGUAGUACACGUGCCUUCAACCUUGCAUUUUGAACCCCAAAUCAGAGACUUUCUGUUUUAUCUUCUCCAGUGAAUACGUCUCUAGCCUUUUGCUGGGGUGGUGGAGAGGCAGUCCAGCUGUAAGGAGUGGCAGGUCUGAUAUUCUUCAAAUUGCUAAUUCCUUUUGGGGAUCCUAUAAUGUAAAUCAGAUUGGUUUUCAACUUUCCCUCCUGGUGGCAUGGAAACUGUCAAGUCUUUACUUCAUUCUUCCAAAAUUCUGUUGAUAUUGUCUCCUCUUUACUUUCUUUCUCUUGAGAGAUAGAAAUCCAUUAAAAAACCCCUUUGCUGCCAUUUUAGAGUGCUCUCUUGAGGGAGGAAAAAAAGUACGCGUGAGAGUUCGAUGUGUUUUCUUUAUCCAGUCCAGUUGUUUUAAAUUUUAAUGAGGUCAAAUUACAUUUUUCAUUUUAGUUUAUACUUUUGUGUGUUUCUAUGAAAUUUUUCCUCACCCUGAGUCUCUAUCAUUUCUGUGGUUUUUGUUUUUUGGGGAAGAUUAGCCCUGAGCUAAUAUCCGCCACCAAUCCUCCUUUUUUGCUGAGGAAGAUUGCCCCUGAGCUAACAUCCAUGCCCAUCUUCCUCUACUUUGCAUGUGGGACACCUGCCACAGCGUGGCUUGACAAGCCAUGCAUAGGUCCACACCCAGGAUCUGACCUGGUACACCCUGGCUGCCGAAGCAGAAUGUGCGAACUUAACUGCUGCGCCACUGGGCCGGCCCUCCUUGUCUUUGAUUUUUAUUCAGUUUUUCUCUGCAAUUAUUUCUGUUACUUUCUCUCUUUCACAUUCUGUGAAUAACUUUACCCUUUUUUUUUUUCUUUUUUCUAAUUUUUUGGUUUUAAGAUUUACCUCAUUAAUUUUUGGCACUUAUUCUCAAAUGCAUGCUUUUACGGCUAUAAUCGUCCCUCUAAGUCCCAUUUUGUUUGUACCCCAAAAGUUUUUGUAGAAAUUUUAUUUUACUGUGGUAAGAACAUCUAACAUGAGAUCUACCCUCUUAAAUUUUUAAGAGCACAAUACAGUAUUGUUAACUAUAGGUACAAUGUCACUGAAACUUAGUCGUCUGGCUUAACUGAAACUUUACGCCCAUUGAUUAGCAGCUCCCCGCUUCCCUCUCCCCCCGUCCCUGGUAGCUACCAUUCAGCUCUUUGACUCCAUGAUACCUCAUGUAAGUGAAAUCAUACAGCAUUUGUCCUUCUGUGGCUGGCAUAAUUACAUAUUAUAUAAAAUGACAUUUAGCAUAAUGUUCUCAACAUUCAUCAUGGUGUCACAUAUGGCAGAAUUUCCUUCUUUAUAAAGGCUGAAUAAUAUUCCAUUGUAUGUAUACACCACCUUUUCUUUAUCCAUUCAUAUAUCGAUGAACGUUUUUGUUGUUCCCACAUCUUAGCUAUUGUGCAUAGCACUGCAAUGAACGUGAGAGUCCCAGUGUCUUUUUGAGAUUCUCAUUUAAAUUCUCUUGGGUAAGUACCCCAAAGUGGAAUAUCUGGGUCAUAUGGUAGUCCUAUUUUUAAUUUUUUCUGGAACCUCCAUAUUGUUUUCCAUAGUGGCUGCACCAUUUUGCGUUCCCAUCAACAGUGCACAAGGCUUCCAGCGUCUCCACAUUCUUGACAACACUUGUUGUCUUCUGUUUUUUUGAUAAUAACCAUCCUAAUGUGUGUGAGGUGAUACCUCUUUGUGGUUUUGAUUUGCAUUUUCCUGAUGAUUAGUGAUGUCGAGCAUCUUUUCGUAUACCCAUUGGCCAUUUGUAUAUCUUCUUUGGAGAAAUGUCUGUUCAAGUCUUUAGCUCAUUUUAAAAUUAUUAGUUCUUUUGUCAAUAAGUUGUAGGAGUUUCUUAUGUAUUUUGGAAAUUAGCUCCUUAUCAGGUAUAUGGUUUGCAAAUAUUUUCUCCCAUUCCAUAGGUUACCUUUUCACUUUGUUGAUUGUUUCUUUUGCUGUGCAGAAGCUUUUUAGUUUGAUACAGUUCCACUGUCCAUUGUUGCUUUUGUUGCCUGUGCUUUUGGUGUCAUACCUAUGAAAUCAUUGCCAAGAUUAAUGUCAUGAAAGUUUUCUCCUGUAUUUUCUCCCAGGAGUUUUAUAGUUUCAGGUCUUAUGUUUAAGUCUUUAACACAUUUUCAGUUGAUUUUUUCAUAUGUUAUAAGGUAAGGGUCCAAUUUCAUUCUUUUGCAUGUGGAUAUACCGUUUUCUAAACCAUUUGUUGAAGAGACUAUCCUUUCUCUAUUGUGUAUUCUCGGCGCUCUUGUCAAAAAUCAGUUGACCGUAUAUGCAUGGAUUUAUUUCUAGGCUCUCUAUUCUGUUCUUUCGGUCUAUAUGUCUGUAUUUAUGCCAAUACCAUACUAUUUUAAUUACUGUAGCUUUGUAAUAUAUUUUGAAAUCAGUAAAUGUGAUACGCUCCAGCCUUGUUCUUCUAUCUCAAGAUUACUUUGGCUGUUUAGAGUCUUUGUUUUCAUAUGACUUUUAGAAUUGUUUUUUCUGUUUCUGUAAAAAAUGCCACUGGAAUUUUUGUACAAAUUGCAUUGGACAUGUAGGUCACUUUGUGUAGAAUAGACAUUUUUCGCAAUAUUAAAUCUUCUAAUCUAUAAACACAGGA